CAUUAUUGAAUAAACUUGAACAAGCUGAAAAUUCUUCUGCUGGCUUCUUUGGAGGCAUGUGCACGCUUGUCAUCUUUAUCUUUCCAGCUGUGCACUUAUUGUAGAUCUUGGAAGUUUGAUUUAUUUUCAAUAGAUUAAGGAUUGCUGUACUUUUACAAAAAAGGUCAGCUUUGCCUUGUAUUUCAAGAUCUAUGUUUAUUACAAACCUUUUAAUGUUUAGAAUGUUGAAAAGAGUUGAUAAUAAAUUAUACAACUUUCAGCAACGGAUCUCUUGGCUCUCGCAUCGAUGAAGAACGCAGCGAAAUGCGAUAAGUAAUGUGAAUUGCAGAAUUCAGUGAAUCAUCAAAUUUUUGAACGCAUCUUGCGCUUCUUGGUAUUCUGAGGAGCAUGCCUGUUUGAGUGUCAUUAAAUUCUCAACCAUAUUAAAUUCUUUUGAUAUGGCUUGGUUGUUGGAAGCCUGCAGGUCUUUAGAUCUGCUCUUCUAAAAUGCAUUAGUGGUAUUUGUGCAGAAGCUACUUAUAGAUGUGAUAAUUAAUUACUUACAUCUCUGUAGCUGUGAUCAUACCGCUACUAACAAAAGUGAACUUGUUUAAUAUACUUGACCUCAAAUCAGGUAGGACUACCCGCUGAACUUAAGCAUAUCAAUAAGCGGAGGAAAAGAAACUAACAAGGAUUCCCUUAGUAACUGCGAGUGAAGUGGGAAAAGCUCAAAUUUGAAAUCUGGCAGUUCUUGACUGUCCGAGUUGUAAUCUAGAGAAGUGUUACCAGUGCUGGACCAUGUACAAGUCUUCUGGAAUG
rnacentral:rRNA from 1 species